AUCUGUGAUAAUAACAACCCCCCGGAGCCCCAACAGGAACUUAAACACACUGUAUUGGAACCCAUUUGAAAUCUGAAUUCAGUCUGUAUUCUGGAAAUCAUCCUAUCCAAGGAAUCCUGAAUGUCUGAAGCGUCCAGCUGGACCAGAGCAGAGGCCCACCUGUGCCACCCCUCUCUCACUGUCCAUGGCAGGGGAGGAUGGUUCAUUUAGAGACCACCAUGCAAGCCAACGGUCUGUCACCUUACACUUCCAGGACUGUACAGCAGCGUGUCCUGACUCAGGAAGUGGCACCCAGGUGAGAGGCAGCACUGGGAGUACAACUGCAGUCCCUGCUCAUGCACAGGAUGCACAGGAGUGUGGCACCAUCAGAUCUGCCCAGGCACUGGGAGCAUGCAGGGUACUGGCAGCAGGAGUGUGAGAUGUGCCCAGGUCUGGGUAAACUUCUCAAACACUGCUGUAAUAAAGGAUUUCAACAUUCAGUGUCCAUUUGUGAGGACAGCUCAACACCAAUUUCUUAAGAGCUGGUUGGGCUGUUGUUGGUUAUAGUGUGGGUGGUAUUUUUGUCUUGUUAAAGGAAAUGCAAUUAUCUUAUAAUUAUCACAGCUACUUCUGACACUCUCUUACAAGCUGUAAAUUCAUGGAUUAAAAUUACAGAUAGUAAUUUCAGAGUUCCCUGUGGUGCUUCUAAUACUCUCUGGUGUUUGCUGGCUCUGUGU